AGUACGGCGGAACACGAGAAAUUCCGUCGGAAUCCGCGGGGACCAUCCCGCAAGGCUAAAUACUCCCUAGUGACCGAUAGUGAACCAGUACCGUGAGGGAAAGGUGAAAAGCACCCCGGAAGGGGAGUGAAAUAGAUCCUGAAACCGUGUGCCUACAACAAGUCAAAGCUCGUUAAUGAGUGAUGGCGUGCCUUUUGUAGAAUGAACCGGCGAGUUACGAUUGCAUGCGAGGUUAAGUCGAAGAGACGGAGCCGCAGCGAAAGCGAGUCUGAAUAGGGCGAAUGAGUAUGUAGUCGUAGACCCGAAACCAUGUGAUCUACCCAUGUCCAGGUUGAAGGUGCGGUAAAACGCACUGGAGGACCGAACCCACGUACGUUGAAAAGUGCGGGGAUGAGGUGUGGGUAGCGGAGAAAUUCCAAACGAACUUGGAGAUAGCUGGUUCUCUCCGAAAUAGCUUUAGGGCUAGCCUCGGAAUUGAGAAUGAUGGAGGUAGAGCACUGUUUGGACUAGGGGCCCAUCUCGGGUUACCGAAUUCAGAUAAACUCCGAAUGCCAUUCAUUUAUAUCCGGGAGUCAGACUGCGAGUGAUAAGAUCCGUAGUCGAAAGGGAAACAGCCCAGACCACCAGCUAAGGUCCCAAAAUAUAUGUUAAGUGGAAAAGGAUGUGGGGUUGCACAGACAACUAGGAUGUUGGCUUAGAAGCAGCCACCAUUUAAAGAGUGCGUAAUAGCUCACUAGUCGAGUGACCCUGCGCCGAAAAUGUACCGGGGCUAAACAUAUUACCGAAGCUGUGGACUACACCAUUAG
rnacentral:rRNA from 1 species